UUUAUGAAACUACAAUCCCAAUCCCAACAACUUUCCACCCUCAAUUCCCAACUAAUAUAUAUAUUCUAAUAAAAUACACACACCCCAAACCGAAAUUCUCCGAUUAUCAGCCACCAUGUGCUACGGUUCCCAUCGAUUUCCACCAUCCGGCGAAGAAAUCAGGUCCCGUCCUGAAUCACAAGAAAACGCCGCCGUAGUUGAAAGUCUCCGAUUACGGCUAGCGGAGACGGAGGCGCGGCUGCAAAGAGCAAGAGAAAGAGAGGCGGCGCUCACCAAAAAACUAAAUGAGAUGAAAAGAUUUGUAUCAGUUAUGGAGAUUAUUGAAACUUAUCUUAAACAGAGAUUUAUUCAUCAACAAAAUCAGCUUGCUCUUCUUUUGUCGUCCGUACAACAACCUAAAUAAAAUGGAUUCAAAUCAACCUGCUUUGCGAGCCGACUAAUCCCAAGACGACCACUCGCUUUGCGGGUAAUUUGGAGUCGUCUCUGGUGAACCUCUGUCACCUCAAGAGGGAAUGCUAUGAUAUCUUAGGGCUUUGUGAGUGUGUCUGGUGCAACAUUUUGAGUUUAUAGUGUUGGGACUUGAGUUCGUGAUUUUCCCCUUAAUAUACUCAAGAAUAUAUUUUGAGUUUUUGAUCAGUAUUAGUUAAAUUUUGAUGUAGUAUGCUGUCAUAUCAUCUAUAAGAUUCAAGAACUAGUUGAUAGUAUUUCUUGAAAUGUGGUUCUUGCCUGUUAUAAACUCUUGAUGAAAUAACAUCAUUAGACUACAGAGUAAUCCCUUUUGCAGCUACUCCAAGGGAUUUGAGGUUAGGAUAAUGUACUAAUUAGGAAUCCUUGAUCUCCCCAUUGAACAUAUAGGCUGUGAUUAGUAGUUCCAUGAUAGCUUCUUUCAAUUGCAUAUCAUGUGAAUUGUAUUCUGUGGCUUAUGUAUUAAUUUGAUGGUUUAGUAGCUGGGAGUGGUCUUAAUCAUCUCACAUAUCAUAAACUCUGCAUUUAUAAUUGCUGAACUAAAAUUGGUCUACCCAGAUCUUCUAUUACAUGUAGCCCUAUUGUAAUGGAACAUCUUACAGAAUUGUA